rnacentral:sRNA from 1 species
AUGCACCCCCGUACACUACGGUUCCUGAGCGCCGCCCGCACCCACCUGACGAUUGCUCGCUACGUUUUGUUAGCC